GCUCACCAUAUUUUCCCCUUAUACUCUCUCGUUCCCCUCAUUCUUUAUAUUCAUUUCUUUUUCUUUUUUUUAUAUUUUACUAUAAUAAUAAUAUACUGCUCUGUUUUAAGUAUUGUAACUCCCGAUCACCGCUACCCUUUCCGAUUGAUCUGAGUCCCAUAACGCAUGUCAAGGCUCUGCCCGACUAAGUUCGUUUGGAUUCUAUCUCGGGACUUUGGGACAAGGUUGAAUUAGGGGUAAUUUACUUAACACGAGUACAUUAUAUUUUAAUAGCCCAAAAGUUAUACCCAAAAUUUAUAUCAGGAGAUUUUCUAGUUGAACCCUAAAGUUACAAAGUGGGUCCAUUCUCUUUUCUCACUGUUUUAUUCUAUUUUGUGAUUUACCCAAAACUAUUAUUUAUUAUUUAUUAUUUCUAUUUUGUAAACAACUUUCAUCAAAAGUCAUGCCUAUUAUUUUAUUUACCUAAUAGGGAACCAUAAGUUGAGACACCCAAGUAACCCUGCACAACUCCUAAAAAUUUCAUAACAAUCAGAAUCGGGAUCAGGGCCCCUAAAACUCAAAGGGGGCAAUCCCCAUUCGAUAUUAUCUUCAAAGUCUGUUGUCAAAAUUGAAUUUUAAUAUUUCAUCGACUCAGAUAGCCUACUCCCACACGCGGCAAGCCUAUGGUCAUUACGUGUCCCUUACGGACCGUAAGGGAUAAGUCUUACGGUCCGUAAGCCUGUCAAAUUUCGUGUAUAAAUAGCAGGCAUCGGCACUUGCAGUCUGUUGUUCAUUCGACGAUUAAAUUCCGAUUAUACACCGAGUUAUCGUCCAAAUACUCUAAAAACACACACGCGAAUCACUAAUUAGUAUAGCAGGGUGCUACUACGAUACAGGGUAUUAACUCGAUCGCUAUUACGAUUCAUUUUCCGACCGAUCAAUAUAUCCAAUGGAUGUUUAAGUGCCACCCACAUUAGGGUUAUACUUUGUCGUUCGUCGUUAAAUCGAUGGAUGUUUAAGUAUCGCACUUUGUCAUUCGUUGUGAGAAUUUGAUCUCGUGAGUUAUCGUAAUUGUUGUAUUAAGUUACCUACCUAGUUCGUGUGCACUAGGUUACAAGGCUAAAUCAAUAGGCUAAGCUCUGCCUGUAUAAAUCUGCAAUAUAUCAAGGCUUAUCUGUAGACUAAAACUUUGGCCGUAUGAAUCUGCAUGAUUAUAAUGACCUUAGGUACUUUAUGGAGCUUGCACAAGGAGGAGCGGGUCGUUGUGGACAAGUAUUCAUGAAUGCUUACUAAACACUUAUGAUAUUUCAUACGAUAACACUUAUGAUUGGGUUUUUACUUAAAUGUUCCGCUACAUAUACAAUGUUUGGUUUUGA
rnacentral:lncRNA from 1 species